GAGGGAAAGGCGAAAAGAACCCCUGUGAGGGGAGUGAAAUAGAACCUGAAACCGUGUACGUACAAGCAGUAGGAGCAGGCUUUGUCCUGUGACUGCGUACCUUUUGUAUAAUGGGUCAGCGACUUAUAUUCAGUGGCAAGGUUAACCAUCUAGGGGAGCCGUAGGGAAACCGAGUCUUAACUGGGCGUUCAGUCUCUGGAUAUAGACCCGAAAC
rnacentral:rRNA from 1 species